rnacentral:rRNA from 1 species
UACGUAGGUGGCGAGCGUUAUCCGGAAUGAUUGGGUGUAAAGGGCGUGCAGCCGGAGAGACAAGUCAGAUGUGAAAUCCACGGGCUCAACCCGUGAACUGCAUUUGAAACUGUUUCCCUUGAGUGUCGGAGAGGUAAUCGGAAUUCCUUGUGUAGCGGUGAAAUGCGUAGAUAUAAGGAAGAACACCAGUGGCGAAGGCGGAUUACUGGACGAUAACUGACGGUGAGGCGCGAAAGCGUGGGGAGCAAACAGG